GACGAACGCUGGCGGCGUGCUUAACACAUGCAAGUCGAACGGAAAGGCCCUGCUUUUGUGGGGUGCUCGAUUGGCGAACGGGUGAGUAACACGUGAGUAACCUGCCCUUGACUUUGUGAUAACUUCAGGAAACUCGGGCUAAUAUCGGAUAGGAGCUCCUGCUGCAUGGUGUGGAUUGGAAAGUUUCGGCGGUUGGGGAUGUACUCGCGGCUUAUCAGCUUGUUGGUGGGGUAGUGGCUUACCAAGGCUUUGACGGGUAGCCGGCCUGAGAGGGUGACCGGCCACAUUGGGACUGCGAUACGGCCCAGACUCCUACGGGAGGCAGCAGUGGGGAAUAUUGCACAAUGGGAGGAAGCCUGAUGCAGCAACGCUGCGUGCGGGAUAACGGCCUUCGGGUUGUAAACCGCUUUCGCCUGUGACGAAGCGUGCGUGACGGUAAUGGGUAAAGAAGCACCGGCUAACUACGUG
rnacentral:rRNA from 1 species